GGCAGCUUAUAACUGCCAGAAUAUUUUUUUUCUAUUGAAAAUUUUAGUUCUAGAAUUCAAUAAAUACACCAUAAAUCUAAUUCCAUUAAAAGUAUCCAAACAAACAAACAUCACAAAUUCAAGUUCAUAUUAAACUAAAGUUAAACAACACAUACGGUAUAUGAUAGCUUAAACAUUUUACAAUCUAGAGUAUGUCAACAAUAAAUAAAUAUACAAAAGUGCCAUGUAUUUGCUUGGUGAUCUUUAUUGUUGUUACCUCAUGAUACUCUUAUACCCAUGAGUGAAGCAGACACACUCUACAUAUCACUAUGUUGAAACUGUGAAAUAAAUCAAUAAUUAAUUUAUCAAACUAAACCAAGUCACACCAAAGUCAAAAUCUUUUGGAGCUAACUUCAAACAAAAGUAACAAAAAGUGCAAAACAUUUCUGGAAAAAAUUAAAAAUAUGUAGUACUAGCUUACCUCAAUAUCUCAUUUCUAGAGGAACUAACAACUACAAAUAUGAAACAAAUUUGGUUACUUGAUAUAAUUUAGGAAAAUAAGUAAAAGAAUUGAAAAUUUAGGAGAUAUGUUAAGAAACAUAACUUACCCCUCGGUGUCAUCAUGCAAGCACAGCAAUUCUUUAAACCAAAUCUGCAUAAAUUAACAUCCAAUCAAGUUGGCUUCAACAAAGCUUUUGUCCCUUGAACUACUUCAUAGUAAGAGAUCCUCUUAAAAGAAACACAUGAACAUCAUAAAUUUAAAAAAAGGUGAAUUAAAUAAAAAGGGUUGAAUCAUAUAUGAAUACCAUUUCUAAACAUACUUUUAAACCAAAUAUGAAUACCAUUCUAACCAUACCAAUAAACCAAAAAAAAAAAAAAAAUAAGAACUACUUAAUUAUUGUUACCUUCAGAUAGGGCACACAUUUAAUAAAGUUAGUAACAACAUUUCCCUUUACUACAUCAUCAAUUAGAUGGUAUAGGUAACUAGUUGUACAUACUCGUCACAUGGCCAAAAAGUGUUCAAGUUCUUUCUCUUGAUAUGUCUCAUUCUAGUAUAUUUCUUCUUCCAUAUCUCUUCUCACAUAUCAUAUAAAUUAAAUCUUUUGGCUAUGGAUGCACAACACAUCAUCUACAUAAUACACCUUUUGUGCUUGAGAUGCUUCAAUGUAAGGCUCGUGUUCUUCGCUCUCUAUCUCUAGUAACCAUAUAGAAAAUUAUAGUUCCCUGUCUUUUUUCAAAAUAAAUGAAGCAUCAAUCGUAUACUAAUAAUUAAUCUACCCAAAAAUUCCCAAGAUUAAAGUUCACUAUAAGACCUUAGCAAGUAAAAGAGAUAAUAAAGUCCAUGUAGUUUCGUGAGAUUUCCCAAUGGAGAUGUUAGAGAUAACAUUAGCAAAUACAUGUCUGAAUAAUUCCGAUGUGCUCUCGCACAAUGAUUAAUAUAUGGGUCUUUUCAAGCUUUUUAACAAGAUUAAUAGCAAAGGUACCGUUUGUUUAAAGUAUUCAUAUAUUUUGAAGCAUAUAUAUUUAACAAGAUUUACUCAAUCAUAUUCUUCAAGAAGGACUAUUCCAAGGCAGAUUAUCCAUAAGGGUUUUAUUACUGGUUCACGCAAUAACUAAACUACAACUGAAAAUCACAAAUUCCAUGGCUAUUGAGAUAAAGAAAAUAAAUUGAGUUAAGAGAAAAGGAAAAAACCACCUUAAUACGAGUAGCGGCAUUCUAAAGUUGAUUUGCCCAAAAGGAUACUUACCUUCAGAAAAACUCGUGUCAUCCUUCAAGCCUGAAAAUAAUUGAAUAAAAAACCAUUAAACUGAAACAUUGGGGCUACGGAAAAUACGUAAUCCCUGAUCUCAAAAGUCAGCCUAGGAGCAAUAAAUUGAGAAGAAGAAUAAUACUUAAAUGUAAUUAAACUAGAUCAAAAUUGAAACAGAUGAAGAAAGAACGCACCUGAAGUAAUUGAAGCGAAAGGAAUUCACUGGGAAGAAGGCAGUUU
rnacentral:lncRNA from 1 species